ACGAACUUCGCCGUCAAGCGCUUUUCUUCCAAAUCGAAAUGUUCCGCUUCUCCUUCCCAUUGCUUCUGUUGAGAAACGUCUACAAUAAUGACAUACAACCCAAUGAUGCCCACUACAUCCUCUUUAAUACAUCUUGAACCCUUAUCAAGCUCUCUCAUGAUGUACUUAUAUACAAGGUUUGUUAUCUUCGGCAAAUCAAGAGCUCCGUUUCUCUGACCUUAAGGCGAAACAAUAUAAAAUUUCAAAGUGAAGUCUUACACGACCUCCACGAACAAACUUGACGAUGUGCACCGAUAAGUCUUUGGGCAGAAGUGUUAAGAAGGCUGCAUGUUUAAGCUGAGAAAGAGUAUGGUACAUUCUUGAGAAAGAUCAGCAGGAGCUAUUUACUAGGAUGCUUAACAAGCAGAUGGACUCAUUUAAUCGAAGAUAUCAUCUCAGUUUCUUACUAAUCUGUCACUUUGUCCGAACAAUACGAGGAGUUAUGUAAGCUACUACUCCAAAUAUCGAAAAGUUUUCAACAGAACUAGAUCGUUUUGAAUUCAAGGGUCGAAGAGAUUCUCUAGUAUCUAACAAUUAAUAAUGUUGGAGAAUUAUUAUCAUCAGCUGUAGAAAUUGCCUUCUGCACUUACUGCACCUGCUACCAUGUUAAUUUUCAACUGUAUAAGUUUAAAAUCAUCAUUUUAGUGGAAGCUAAUGUCUUAAAAUCAUCAGCGUGGAUACUUCCAUCGUGAUUCAAAGUCAGAAAUUUAUUAACUCUAAAAACUGUCAUCAUUGAGAUCACUGAUCUUGGCUUCGCUCGGGAUGUCAAUUCGAGUACACCAUAUAUAGAGUAUGUAUUGUCAUGCUGGUACAUGGCACCAGAAGUACCGACUACAGCUUUAUGUGUACCUGCCAAACGUUGGUUAGUGCACUACAACAGUGUAUUAUCUAAAACAAAAAGGAUUUAUUCAAGCUUUUUGUUUUGUUUUGAAACUACUUAGAAAGUGUUUCCUAUGUAUUUGUUACAUAGAAUUAAGGCUGAACAAAAUAAAGCCUAACCAAAAAGUAAUAUCAAACACGAACUUAAACAAUAAAUAUCCAAAAUUUUAGUAUCCAAAAAAUUAGAAUCUAA